ACCUCCUUUCUCCAACUUCCCCCGCUCGUCUCCUCCCCCGCCUCCUCUCACCUCCCACCUCCUCCUUCCUCCACCUCCUCCCACUGCAUCCCUUUCCUCUUCUCUCCCCUCCCCCGGCCCCCCAGGGCUGCGGGCGGCUCCCUCGUUUCGGCGUAGCCCACAGAUUUGGGCCGAAUGUGGUUCCCAGGCUCUGGGUCAAGAAUUCAGACGGGAAAAGUUUGCUGGCAGCUCCAGCGGCCGGGCCGCCCUGGAGCCCGGGCCGCGCCGGCUCGCCGCUCCCGGUCCGUCGGCGCCCGGCAAGCGCGGCGCUCACGGAAGGGCGGUGGCAGCGCCCGCUGCUUUUCUUCUCACUUUCUCGGCGGUUCUGCCCCUGAAGUUGAACGCGGAUUAAAGGGCAGCAAUACCUUGUGUUAAGAGAAGAAAAUGUGGGAGCCAAAUGGGACUGAGAGGGAGAGAGGCGAGCGGGAGGCCAGAGAACGGGGGAGCAAGUUGGCUCCGCUGGGCUGGGGACGGAGGGUCCUUUGGGGCGGAGUUUCACAUGAGGAGUGCACGCAGGGGCUGGGACGUGUAAAGACAAGGUGGCCUGGACAACGGAGUCCCAGGCAAAAGAAAAGUGUAUGGUACUUCUGCUGCCAGAAACGAUGGCCACACAGUUUUGUUUCUCACUUUUCCGUCUUCAGACCAGUGGAUCCAGAUCAUGUAAGUCUGUAUCAUUCCCAAUUUGCACUCGAGGACACUGAGGCAAGGAUAGGCUAAAUGACUUGGCCUGGCCACACAGCUCUUAGUGGCCGACCCAGGACUCAAACCCACAUCUCUCUGACUCCAAACCCAUAUUAUACUAUGACCUAGUGUUUGCUGGUGUAAAACAGAUGGUCCCACCUUAGCACAGAUUGAACCCACACCUUGUUUGGAGGACAAGCAGAUAGAUUUGCAGGUAGGUAUGUGCUCUGAAUUCUUUCAGGCUCGUAUUUCACAAUGGACAUAAUCAGUGCAUCUUCACCCCCGAGGAUGUUAAGGAAGCCUUUCAUUAGCAGGAAUCUCUGAAUUCCUAAACCCUUGCCAGAGUGAGUGCUUAAGGAGCUGUUGUCUCCAGUGAACCCAAGUCUCUUUGUGGCCUGUUAGGGAAAUUCCCUGGGCCCUAGGCUGGUAUCUCUGUGCAAAAUGAUUGGACUAUCCAAUAGGAUUUUUAAAAUCCCCCAAAGUCCCAUUCUUCUACAAAUGAAAUAUACAAAAGUAAAGAGGGAGAGACCAGCAAAACAAGCUAAACUUGAAGGUUUCAUGGGACUUCUUGCAACCUACCCAGAAAUCUCUGCUGGGCAGUGAAGAAUCGCUGGGAAAACUGGGAUUCUCAGCCUCUUUGGUAUUUUUUUACAAGAUACUGACUCUGGAGACGAGGGAGGUGGGUGCCUGGGUGGUGAUGGUAAUGGGACAUGGGGGUCCUCUAAGAAUGUGUGUCCCUUUCCUGUUUAUCCUCAGCAAAUAAAAAACACACCUGGUUCUCUUAGGCUCUUUAGUAGUUUCUCUUCAGAAGAUUUCAAGAUACCACUAAGGAUUUUGUUUUUGCUUCCAUUACUGCUUUAAUUCUACUUAAUGUCUACACACUCAUAAGUCACCAGAAUACACCCUAAUCCUCACCCAAAAAAUGAGAUCAAGAUUCGACAAGCCUAGCCAUCUAAGAAAAUCAGUGGGAAGCCUGCUUUUCAAUUAUAAUGUUUUACAUGUGGUCCAAUACGGUGCAGGGGGAUUGCUGUUUAAGAAGCACUGUAGAGUAGUACCUCCGUGUGCCAUCUGAUGGCUCAUCUAUUACUAAACCUCAUACAGCACCCCUACUGAUGAUGAAAUUCCCCAGAGGAGCAGUAGCAAGUUCUCCUCCUGGUUAUCUUUCUUCCAUAUUUACAGGUUAAGAACUGAAGCCACCAAGAAGGGGCUUAGUACAACCUGACACCCAAGCCUUAUGUUUUGGGGUGGACGGAUGCCCUCGUGGGUCUGCGGCUAAUUAGGCAGACAGUCAAGAGAGGAAGGGAGCCGGUUCCACGGGCUUGCAUGGGAAUAGCCGUGAACCCCUGCAAUGGCAGGGGCUUCUGUUUCCAGGCAGCUGUUCCAAGGCAGAAUUGGGCCAUUUUCUCCAGGCUGCCGCUGGCUCCGUCACAAGAAGAUGAACUACAAGUAAUAAAAUCAAGAUGAAGUUCUGUGUAAAUCUUUCCAGCUCACAAAGAUGGUAGAAAGUUGAAGAUGAAAGGGCUGUUAAAGACCAUCUACUUCAACCUCCUCAUUCUGAGGCUGUGAAAACCCAGGCCCAGGGAGGCUUGUUGAUGACCCGACCAUCACACAGCGGCUCCGGCUCCGGGGCGGGAGCUGCAUCAGCUUUCCGUGGCUGCGGCGUGACAUCCUUGCCGUCCCACUAGUCCUAGAGCAUCUUUCGACUUUUGCAAACAGACUUGAUGAAGAAAGCGAGGCCCUGCUGCAAACCUACAAGAGUAAAGCCUCUGAGAGCUUCUCAGAUACUGAAGGAGCUAUGUCAUGGACGAGGCUUUUCCCAUGUGGCCAGGCUAGAGGGACGAGUGGACGCUGAGGACAGAAACUUCGAGAAUCUCAGGCUCUGGGUGAUCAAUGUGUGAUUAUGAAUUGAAUUGAAUGCAACAACGAGGAAUGUGUCAGCUGGAUGAAUCACGACCCUUAUGCACCCCCAAGGAUAUGGGAACUGGGCUACAGGGACAGACCACAGCCGGCUCCAAGUCACGUGCCCCGGUCACGUGGUGCGGCGAGGCAGAAACCGGCUGGCAAUCAUUAACUAAUGGUUACUCCUGGGGAGAAAAUGAAGGUUUUAAAGACACGGACUCUCUUUUUGUAAAACAACCGGGACUGCAAUAGAAGCUGUGGCUGGAGGGCCGGGGAGGGCAGGAGUGCAGCCCUGAGAUCACCAGUCCAGAGGCAGUGGUGAGGAGCCAAGACCACAGUGGAUUCCAGGCUGACAAGAGGUCCGUCCACAGGACGCAGGGACUGGCUGAGCCCCCAGGUGAUGCUGACGCCCAGCAAGAGCUCUCUGAGUGGAGCCGCUCUGCACGCCACCACCUUCAUCAAAUGCAGCACAGAGAACACGAAGCCGUACAUUACUUGCUGAGUUGAAAGGCGUUUUAAGAGGUUAUCUAGACUAAUCACAACUUUAAACUACGCUCCAUGGCCUGGCUGGGCGUCUGCUCCAGUGAGGUGAUUCCACAUGUGAGUGAAAUCAUGCAGUAUUUGGAUUUCUCUGUGUGACUUAAUUCACUGGGCACAAUAUCUUCAGGGUCCAUCCAUGUUGUCAUGAAUGGCAAGAUUUCAUUCCUUUUGAUGGGCUGGACAUGCAACUGACCAGUUUUCACCCAGAGGAGUGACAUGAUUAGUUUUGCAUUUUAGACCAGUUAUUCUGGCUAUACAGUACGUGCAAAGGAUUUGAGUGGUUGGAAUGCAGCCUAGUGGCCAGUGCAGGAGCAGCUAUCUUGUACCAUGAGCACAUCUUACCUUUGCUGGCUUUGAUGAAGCAAGUUGGCACGUUAUGAGCUGCUCUACGAAGAGGCUCAGAUAGCAGAGAACUGAAGAGAGGAGCUGGCCGAGAGCCAGCAAGGAACUAAGGCCCCUAGUUCAGCUCCCUGCAAAGACCUGAAUCCUGCCAACAACCAUGUGAGCCUGGAAGAGGGUCUUUCCCCAGUCAGGCUUCCAGAUGAGACUCUAGCCCUGGCCUACAUCCUGAUUGCAGCCUUGGGAGGACACCCUGAAGUUGACAACUCUGCUAAAUUGAGCCUGGAUUCCUGACCCACAGAAACUGAGACAAUAAAUGUGUGCUGUCCCGA